rnacentral:rRNA from 1 species
UGGGGAAUUUUGGACAAUGGGCGAAAGCCUGAUCCAGCAAUGCCGCGUGUGUGAAGAAGGCCUUCGGUUGUAAAGCACUUUUGUCCGGAAAGAAAUCCUUGGCUCUAAUACAGUCGGGGGAUGACGGUACCGGAAGAAUAAGCACCGGCUAACUACGUGCCAGCAGCCGCGGUAAUACGUAGGGUGCAAGCGUUAAUCGGAAUUACUGGGCGUAAAGCGUGCGCAGGCGGUUUGCUAAGACCGAUGUGAAAUCCCCGGGCUCAACCUGGGAACUGCAUUGGUGACUGGCAGGCUAGAGUAUGGCAGAGGGGGGUAGAAUUCCACGUGUAGCAGUGAAAUGCGUAGAGAUGUGGAGGAAUACCGAUGGCGAAGGCAGCCCCCUGGGCCAAUACUGACGCUCAUGCACGAAAGCGUGGGGAGCAAACAGGAUUAGAUACCCUGGUAGUCCACGCCCUAAACGAUGUCAACUAGUUGUUGGGGAUUCAUUUCCUUAGUAACGUAGCUAACGCGUGAAGUUGACCGCCUGGGGAGUACGUCGCAAGAUUAAAACUUAAAGGAAUUGACGGGGUCAUAGCUGUUUCCU